rnacentral:lncRNA from 1 species
AUCACAUUUCAUAAUUAAGAAUUACAAGGUUUUCUUGCAAAAAUCAGAUGUAAAUAAAAUAAUAAUAAUAAUAAUAAACAAAUAACCCUACGCACCCUCAUACCAAAUUCAAUUAUUUCCCCAACCCUAAAAAUCAUUCCACACUCUUCUCCCUCUCUCUUGCGCCACCGCCGAUGGCUGUUCUCCUCUCUUGCACUCUCUCUCUCUUACCAUCUUCGAUUUGGCUGUGUUGUGAUGUUGAUGUAGUGCUGCGGUGCUAGGGAUAGUCUUAAGAAGCCAUCGUCGGAGAGCCUCGCCAACAGGCCAUUGUCGGAUCUAUUGAUGCUGUUGCACGUCUUCCCUCUUGCUCCAUCACGAUCUUUUUUUUUCCCUGCAUUUUGAUGGCUUAUGGUUUUUUGUGUGAUUUUAUUGUGUUGUGAUGUGAGUGCAGUGGUGCGAUGCUGUGGGUGGUCGUGUGCGGUGUGCGUGGUGGUUGUGUACGAUGUGAGGUGGUGGUACGCGAUGAGGAGAGAAUUUAUAACAGGUUAUUUCGGCCGCCAUGGUCGUGCAGGUGAUAGUGUUCGGUGUUGGUGCAGCGAUGGUGUAAAUGGUGGUACAAGUGAUACUUUUCGGCGUUGGUGGAGAUGGUGGUUGUGGUGGUCACAGUGGUGUAGUUUGUUUGUUUGCUUAAGAUGGUAAAGUUGUUGGUGUUGAUGUCGGAUGUCGUUAGGUGGAGAUGGUGUUGGUUCUGGUGGCGGUGGUCUGCCGAUGGAGUGGUCACAAAUUAUUAUUGCGAUCAAUAAAUUAAUUAAUGUGUGACCAAUAAAUAUUAUGCGAUCAAUAUCAAUAAAAAAAAUGUGCGACCUAAAAAUGUGUUCAAUUGUGACUAAUAAUUUGGUAAUUUGUGACUCAUUAAUUUAAUAAAUUUGUGAUAGAAAAAUAAGUUUGUGACUUAUAAAUUUGUGAUUUGUGACGAAAAGCUUUUGUGACCACUU